UGGGGAAUAUUGCACAAUGGGCGCAAGCCUGAUGCAGCCAUGCCGCGUGUAUGAAGAAGGCCUUCGGGUUGUAAAGUACUUUCAGCGGGGAGGAAGGGAGUAAAGUUAAUACCUUUGCUCAUUGACGUUACCCGCAGAAGAAGCACCGGCUAACUCCGUGCCAGCAGCCGCGGUAAUACGGAGGGUGCAAGCGUUAAUCGGAAUUACUGGGCGUAAAGCGCACGCAGGCGGUUUGUUAAGUCAGAUGUGAAAUCCCCGGGCUCAACCUGGGAACUGCAUCUGAUACAGGCAAGCUUGAGUCUCGUAGAGGGGGGUAGAAUUCCAGGUGUAGCGGUGAAAUGCGUAGAGAUCUGGAGGAAUACCGGUGGCGAAGGCGGCCCCCUGGACGAAGACUGACGCUCAGGUGCGAAAGCGUGGGGAGCAAACAGG
rnacentral:rRNA from 1 species